rnacentral:rRNA from 1 species
AUUGAACGCUGGCGGCAGGCCUAACACAUGCAAGUCGAACGAGUGGCGGACGGGUGAGUAAUGUCUGGGAAACUGCCUGAUGGAGGGGGAUAACUACUGGAAACGGUAGCUAAUACCGCAUACCAUCGGAUGUGCCCAGAUGGGAUUAGCGAGUAGGUGGGGUAAAGGCUCACCUAGGCGACGAUCCCUAGCUGGUCUGAGAGGAUGACAAGCCACACUGGAACUGAGCCACGUUCCAGACUCCUCCGGGAGGGAGCAGUGGGGAAUAUUGCACAAUGGGCGAAAGCCUGAUGCAGCCAUGCCGCGUGUAUGAAGAAGGCUUUCGGGUUGUAAAGUACUUUCAGCGGGGAGGCGUUACCCGCAGAAGAAGCACCGGCUAACUCCGUGCCAGCCGCCGCGGUAAUAC